CUACGGACUUAAUUUAGUUGAGCCUUGGAGGAGAAAUCCUGCAAGUGUAAGCUCUCAAACUCAGGGAAACCUAAAUCUGGCCCCAGACAAGGCAAUCCUGAGCCAAGUCCUGUUGAUUACUUGUAGAACUUUACCUUUGAAUUGCGAUAAGCAGAUGGUAAAUAACAGAAGGGUUAACAAGAAAGGUGCAGAGACUCGACGGGAGCCACCCUAACGUAAAGCCGAGGGUGAAGAGAGAGUCCAAUUCUCAAAACCUAAUGU
rnacentral:ncRNA from 1 species